rnacentral:rRNA from 1 species
AGAGUUUGAUCCUGGCUCAGGACGAACGCUGGCGGCGUGCUUAACACAUGCAAGUCGAACGGUAAGGCCCUUCGGGGUACACGAGUGGCGAACGGGUGAGUAACACGUGGGUGAUCUGCCCUGCACUUUGGGAUAAGCCUGGGAAACUGGGUCUAAUACCGGAUAGGACUACGCUCUGCAUGGGGUGUGGUGGAAAGCUUUUGCGGUGUGGGAUGGGCCCGCGGCCUAUCAGCUUGUUGGUGGGGUGAUGGCCUACCAAGGCGACGACGGGUAGCCGGCCUGAGAGGGUGUCCGGCCACACUGGGACUGAGAUACGGCCCAGACUCCUACGGGAGGCAGCAGUGGGGAAUAUUGCACAAUGGGCGCAAGCCUGAUGCAGCGACGCCGCGUGGGGGAUGACGGCCUUCGGGUUGUAAACCUCUUUCAGCAUCGACGAAGCGCAAGUGACGGUAGAUGCAGAAGAAGCACCGGCCAACUACGUGCCAGCAGCCGCGGUAAUACGUAGGGUGCGAGCGUUGUCCGGAAUUACUGGGCGUAAAGAGCUCGUAGGUGGUUUGUCGCGUUGUUCGUGAAAACUCACAGCUUAACUGUGGGCGUGCGGGCGAUACGGGCAGACUGGAGUACUGCAGGGGAGACUGGAAUUCCUGGUGUAGCGGUGGAAUGCGCAGAUAUCAGGAGGAACACCGGUGGCGAAGGCGGGUCUCUGGGCAGUAACUGACGCUGAGGAGCGAAAGCGUGGGGAGCGAACAGGAUUAGAUACCCUGGUAGUCCACGCCGUAAACGGUGGGUACUAGGUGUGGGUUUCCUUCCUUGGGAUCCGUGCCGUAGCUAACGCAUUAAGUACCCCGCCUGGGGAGUACGGCCGCAAGGCUAAAACUCAAAGGAAUUGACGGGGGCCCGCACAAGCGGCGGAGCAUGUGGAUUAAUUCGAUGCAACGCGAAGAACCUUACCUGGGUUUGACAUGCACAGGACGCCGGCAGAGAUGUCGGUUCCCUUGUGGCCUGUGUGCAGGUGGUGCAUGGCUGUCGUCAGCUCGUGUCGUGAGAUGUUGGGUUAAGUCCCGCAACGAGCGCAACCCUUGUCCUAUGUUGCCAGCGGGUUAUGCCGGGGACUCGUAGGAGACUGCCGGGGUCAACUCGGAGGAAGGUGGGGAUGACGUCAAGUCAUCAUGCCCCUUAUGUCCAGGGCUUCACACAUGCUACAAUGGCCGGUACAAAGGGCUGCGAUGCCGUGAGGUGGAGCGAAUCCUUUCAAAGCCGGUCUCAGUUCGGAUCGGGGUCUGCAACUCGACCCCGUGAAGUCGGAGUCGCUAGUAAUCGCAGAUCAGCAACGCUGCGGUGAAUACGUUCCCGGGCCUUGUACACACCGCCCGUCACGUCAUGAAAGUCGGUAACACCCGAAGCCGGUGGCCUAACCCCUUGUGGGAGGGAGCCGUCGAAGGUGGGAUCGGCGAUUGGGACGAAGUCGUAACAAGGUAGCCGUAA